CAUUAAAACGCAUGUUCCUGUACGAUCACCAAAGUUAAACAACGUUUUGCUUGGUCAGUACCAAAAUGGGUGACCGCUUGGGAAUACCAGGUGCUGUAAG